GGAAUCUUGUCGGAGUGCCGGUAGCUUUCUUAAUGAAGUUACCGGCUGAGACCGCAAUUGCGGGAUCCGUUGAACCUGAUCAGGCUAAUACCUGCGAAGGGAACAAGAGAGCAUCAGCA
rfam:Idiomarina loihiensis L2TR, complete genome.